AUUGAACGCUGGCGGCAGGCCUAACACAUGCAAGUCGAGCGGUAGAGAGAAGCUUGCUUCUCUUGAGAGCGGCGGACGGGUGAGUAAUGCCUAGGAAUCUGCCUAGUGGUGGGGGAUAACGUUCGGAAACGGACGCUAAUACCGCAUACGUCCUACGGGAGAAAGCGGGGGAUCUUCGGACCUCGCGCCAUUAGAUGAGCCUAGGUCGGAUUAGCUAGUUGGUGAGGUAAUGGCUCACCAAGGCGACGAUCCGUAACUGGUCUGAGAGGAUGAUCAGUCACACUGGAACUGAGACACGGUCCAGACUCCUACGGGAGGCAGCAGUGGGGGAAUAUUGGACAAUGGGCGAAAGCCUGAUCCAGCCAUGCCGCGUGUGUGAAGAAGGUCUUCGGAUUGUAAAGCAC
rnacentral:rRNA from 1 species